UGUGAGCUCGAUGAGUAGGGCGGGACACGUGGUAUCCUGUCUGAAUAUGGGGGGACCAUCCUCCAAGGCUAAAUACUCCUGACUGACCGAUAGUGAACCAGUACCGUGAGGGAAAGGCGAAAAGAACCCCGGCGAGGGGAGUGAAAAAGAACCUGAAACCGUGUACGUACAAGCAGUGGGAGCACGCUUAGGCGUGUGACUGCGUACCUUUUGUAUAAUGGGUCAGCGACUUAUAUUCUGUAGCAAGGUUAACCGAAUAGGGGAGCCGAAGGGAAACCGAGUCUUAACUGGGCGUUAAGUUGCAGGGUAUAGACCCGAAACCCGGUGAUCUAGCCAUGGGCAGGUUGAAGGUUGGGUAACACUAACUGGAGGACCGAACCGACUAAUGUUGAAAAAUUAGCGGAUGACUUGUGGCUGGGGGUGAAAGGCCAAUCAAACCGGGAGAUAGCUGGUUCUCCCCGAAAGCUAUUUAGGUAGCGCCUCGUGAAUUCAUCUCCGGGGGUAGAGCACUGUUUCGGCAAGGGGGUCAUCCCGACUUACCAACCCGAUGCAAACUGCGAAUACCGGAGAAUGUUAUCACGGGAGACACACGGCGGGUGCUAACGUCCGUCGUGAAGAGGGAAACAACCCAGACCGCCAGCUAAGGUCCCAAAGUCAUGGUUAAGUGGGAAACGAUGUGGGAAGGCCCAGACAGCCAGGAUGUUGGCUUAGAAGCAGCCAUCAUUUAAAGAAAGCGUAAUAGCUCACUGGUCGAGUCGGCCUGCGCGGAAGAUGUAACGGGGCUAAACCAUGCACCGAAGCUGCGGCAGCGACACUAUGUGUUGUUGGGUAGGGGAGCGUUCUGUAAGCCUGCGAAGGUGUGCUGUGAGGCAUGCUGGAGGUAUCAGAAGUGCGAAUGCUGACAUAAGUAACGAUAAAGCGGGUGAAAAGCCCGCUCGCCGGAAGACCAAGGGUUCCUGUCCAACGUUAAUCGGGGCAGGGUGAGUCGACCCCUAAGGCGAGGCCGAAAGGCGUAGUCGAUGGGAAACAGGUUAAUAUUCCUGUACUUGGUGUUACUGCGAAGGGGGGACGGAGAAGGCUAUGUUGGCCGGGCGACGGUUGUCCCGGUUUAAGCGUGUAGGCUGGUUUUCCAGGCAAAUCCGGAAAAUCAAGGCUGAGGCGUGAUGACGAGGCACUACGGUGCUGAAGCAACAAAUGCCCUGCUUCCAGGAAAAGCCUCUAAGCAUCAGGUAACAUCAAAUCGUACCCCAAACCGACACAGGUGGUCAGGUAGAGAAUACCAAGGCGCUUGAGAGAACUCGGGUGAAGGAACUAGGCAAAAUGGUGCCGUAACUUCGGGAGAAGGCACGCUGAUAUGUAGGUGAAGCGACUUGCUCGUGGAGCUGAAAUCAGUCGAAGAUACCAGCUGGCUGCAACUGUUUAUUAAAAACACAGCACUGUGCAAACACGAAAGUGGACGUAUACGGUGUGACGCCUGCCCGGUGCCGGAAGGUUAAUUGAUGGGGUCAGCGCAAGCGAAGCUCUUGAUCGAAGCCCCGGUAAACGGCGGCCGUAACUAUAACGGUCCUAAGGUAGCGAAAUUCCUUGUCGGGUAAGUUCCGACCUGCACGAAUGGCGUAAUGAUGGCCAGGCUGUCUCCACCCGAGACUCAGUGAAAUUGAACUCGCUGUGAAGAUGCAGUGUACCCGCGGCAAGACGGAAAGACCCCGUGAACCUUUACUAUAGCUUGACACUGAACAUUGAGCCUUGAUGUGUAGGAUAGGUGGGAGGCUUUGAAGUGUGGACGCCAGUCUGCAUGGAGCCGACCUUGAAAUACCACCCUUUAAUGUUUGAUGUUCUAACGUUGACCCGUAAUCCGGGUUGCGGACAGUGUCUGGUGGGUAGUUUGACUGGGGCGGUCUCCUCCUAAAGAGUAACGGAGGAGCACGAAGGUUGGCUAAUCCUGGUCGGACAUCAGGAGGUUAGUGCAAUGGCAUAAGCCAGCUUGACUGCGAGCGUGACGGCGCGAGCAGGUGCGAAAGCAGGUCAUAGUGAUCCGGUGGUUCUGAAUGGAAGGGCCAUCGCUCAACGGAUAAAAGGUACUCCGGGGAUAACAGGCUGAUACCGCCCAAGAGUUCAUAUCGACGGCGGUGUUUGGCACCUCGAUGUCGGCUCAUCACAUCCUGGGGCUGAAGUAGGUCCCAAGGGUAUGGCUGUUCGCCAUUUAAAGUGGUACGCGAGCUGGGUUUAGAACGUCGUGAGACAGUUCGGUCCCUAUCUGCCGUGGGCGCUGGAGAACUGAGGGGGGCUGCUCCUAGUACGAGAGGACCGGAGUGGACGCAUCACUGGUGUUCGGGUUGUCAUGCCAAUGGCACUGCCCGGUAGCUAAAUGCGGAAGAGAUAAGUGCUGAAAGCAUCUAAGCACGAAACUUGCCCCGAGAUGAGUUCUCCCUGACUCCUUGA
rnacentral:rRNA from 1 species